rnacentral:lncRNA from 1 species
ACACGUGCAAUCCCAGCACUUUGAGAGGCCGAGGCGGGUGGAUUACCUGAGGUCAGGAGUUUGAGACCAGCCUGGCCAACAUGGCGAAAUGCCGUCUUUACUAAAAAUACAAAAAUUAGCUGGGUGUGGUGGCAUGCGCCUGUAGUCCCAGCUACUCAGGAGGCUGAGGCAGGAGAAUCGCUUGAACCUGGGAGUUGGAAGUUGCAGUGAGCUGAGAUUGUGCCACUGCACUCCAGCCUGAGUGACAGAGUGAGACUCCAUCUCAAAAAAAUAAUAAAUUACCUCUGCUGGCCGGGCGUGGAGGCUCACGCCUGUAAUCCCAGUACUUUGGGAGGCCAAGGUGGGUGGAUCACUUGAGAUCAGGAGUUUUGAGACCAGCCUGGCCAAUAUGGUAAAACCCCGUCUCUACUAAAAAUAGAAAACUCAGCCGGUUGUGGUGACACAUGCCUGUAGUCUCAGCUAUUUAGGAAGCUGAGGCAGGAGAAUUGCUUGAACCUGGGAAGUGGAGGUUGCAGUGAGCCGAGAUUGUGCCACUGCACUCCAGCCUGGGCGUUGCAGCGAGACUCAAAAAAAAAAAAAGUAUUCUGUUCUCACUACUCAAACUUGGGAGAGAAUACUACACAAAAACAACAACAAAACACCAGAAAAACCAGAGACCAUUCUCACAAAAAGAUACAAAGUCCAUACUAAAAUGUAAUAAAUCCAGCAGUGUAUUAAAAAUAAUGUGUAUACAGGGAUGUAUUAUAGGUUGAAAGAAAAAGUACCUUGGAGAUGUGUUUGAUACAGUUCAAAGUGAUUUUUAAAAGCGAGAUGGUGUAAAGGAAACAAUGAGUACUAAGCAAAGAACUUUCAGAAUCAUUUUCAGUAAUGAGACAUUGGAGCACGGUAACAUCUUGCCAUAAUGUGAUAGGUGAGGUAAAUAUUUCAUUUGGGUAAAAUGGGUUAUUGUGAGGUUGAUGAAAUAACUAGGAUGCAGUUCAGAGCGUGAGAAGCAAUAAUUUGCAUUAUAUCAGAAUUCAUCACCUCUGUUCUCAUUAAGGCCUGAAGAAUGUCAGCUACUACUACAAUUCUACAACAUUGUUCUCUGGGGCUUAGCAAAUGAUACAAGUACUGGGAAUGGAAGAGACUGAAUGUAAGAUAGUUUACCUCAUGGAGAGAUUGAAUGUUAUUCACAAAGUGUAAGAUAGUCCACCUAGAAAAUACAUCCCAGAAACUGAAAAACUGCUAGGAGAGUUCAGUAAGGUGACAAAGUUCAAGAUAAAUAUGCAAAAUUAUUUAAUAUUAGUUUCCUUAUUCACCACACACACACACAAAUCAAAAUGUGAUAGAUGUAAACUACCCAGGUAUACAUUUAACAGAAAUACUCAAGAUAUGUAUGAAUAAAACACAUUUUGCUAAAGAAGAGAUGAAUUAUAAGGAAAAUAUAAUUGGAUGGGAUCAAUGUACAGAUGACCAUGCCAUUUUUUUCUACAAAUUAAAUCUAAUCCAGAAAGGCUUAAAAAAAAUUUCUUUUUAUUGAGACAGGGUCUCACUGUAGUACAAGACGAGGUAGAGCCCAGGAGUUUGAAACUAGCCUGGGCAACAUAGGGAAACCCGGUCUCAAAAAAAAAAAAAAAAAAAAAAAAAUUGGCUGGGUGUUGUGGCGUGUGCCUGUAAUCCCAGCAACUCAGAAGACUGAGGUGGGAGGAUCGCUUGAACCCAGGAGACAGAGGUUGCAGUGAGCCCAGGUGGC